rnacentral:rRNA from 1 species
AACGUAGGAGACAAACGUUAUCCGGAGUUACUGGGCGUAAAGGGCGUGUAGGUGGUUUCGUAAGUCUGGCGUGAAAUUUUUCGGCUUAACCGGGAAAGGUCGUCGGAUACUGCGGGACUGGAGGACGGUAGAGGCGUGUGGAAUUCCGGGUGUAGUGGUGAAAUGCGUAGAGAUCCGGAGGAACCCCAGAGGCGAAGGCGGCAGCCUGGUUGGCUCCUGACGCUCGGACACGACAGCAUGGGGAGCGAACGGG